AGUGAACGCUGGCGGUAGGCCUAACACAUGCAAGUCGAACGGCAGCACAGUAAGAGCUUGCUCUUACGGGUGGCGAGUGGCGGACGGGUGAGGAAUACAUCGGAAUCUACUUUUUCGUGGGGGAUAACGUAGGGAAACUUACGCUAAUACCGCAUACGCCCUACGGGUGAAAGCAGGGGAUCUUCUGACCUUGCGCGAUUGAAUGAGCCGAUGUCGGAUUAGCUAGUUGGCGGGGUAAAGGCCCACCAAGGCGACGAUCCGUAGCUGGUCUGAGAGGAUGAUCAGCCACACUGGAACUGAGACACGGUCAAGACUCCUACGGGAGGCAGCAGUGUGGAAUAUUGGACAAUAGGCGCAAGCCUGAUCCAGCCAUACCGCGUGGGUGAAGAAGGCCUUCGGGUUGUAAAGCCCUUUUGUUGGGAAAGAAAAGCAGCAGGUUAAUACCCCGCUGUUCUGACGGUACCCAAAGAAGAAGCACCGGCUAACUUCGUG
rnacentral:rRNA from 1 species